AUUGAACGCUGGCGGCAUGCUUUACACAUGCAAGUCGGACGAGUGGCGAACGGGUGAGUAACGCAUCGGAACGUACCGAGUAAUGGGGGAUAACUGUCCGAAAGGACAGCUAAUACCGCAUAUUAUUCGAGCUGCAGAUAUGUGAUUAGAUGGUUUGCUGGGUAAAGGCCCACCAAUGCGAAGAUCAGUAGAGGGUAUGAGAGGAUGAUCCGCCACACGUGCACGGAGACACUGUCCAGACUCCUACGGGAGGCAGCAGUGGGGAAGUUUGGACAAUGGGCACAAGCCUGAUCCCGCCAUGCCGCGUGUCUGAAGAAGGCCUUCGGGUUGUAAAGGACUUUUGUCAGGGAAGCGGUACCUGAAGAAUAAGCACCGGCUAACUACGUGCCAGCAUCCGCGGUAAGAC
rnacentral:rRNA from 1 species